AACGAACGCUGGCGGCAUGCCUAAUACAUGCAAGUCGAACGAGAUCUUCGGAUCUAGUGGCGCACGGGUGCGUAACGCGUGGGAAUCUGCCCUUGGGUUCGGAAUAACUUCUGGAAACGGAAGCUAAUACCGGAUGAUGACGUAAGUCCAAAGAUUUAUCGCCCAAGGAUGAGCCCGCGUAGGAUUAGCUAGUUGGUGGGGUAAAGGCCCACCAAGGCGACGAUCCUUAGCUGGUCUGAGAGGAUGAUCAGCCACACUGGGACUGAGACACGGCCCAGACUCCUACGGGAGGCAGCAGUAGGGAAUAUUGGACAAUGGGCGAAAGCCUGAUCCAGCAAUGCCGCGUGAGUGAUGAAGGCCUUAGGGUUGUAAGCUCUUUUACCCGGGAUGAUAAUGACAGUACCGGGAGAAUAAGCUCCGGCUAACUCCGUG
rnacentral:rRNA from 1 species